AUUGAACGCUGGCGGCAUGCCUUACACAUGCAAAUCGAACGGUAACGGGCCUUCGGGUGCCGACGAGUGGCGAACGGGUGAGUAAUACAUCGGAACGUGCCCGAUCGUGGGGGAUAACGAGGCGAAAGCUUUGCUAAUACCGCAUACGAUCUACGGAUGAAAGCAGGGGACCGCAAGGCCUUGCGCGGACGGAGCGGCCGAUGGCAGAUUAGGUAGUUGGUGGGAUAAAAGCUUACCAAGCCGACGAUCUGUAGCUGGUCUGAGAGGAUGAUCAGCCACACUGGGACUGAGACACGGCCCAGACUCCUACGGGAGGCAGCAGUGGGGAAUUUUGGACAAUGGGCGCAAGCCUGAUCCAGCCAUGCCGCGUGCAGGAUGAAGGCCUUCGGGUUGCAAACUGAUUUUGUACGGAACGAAAAGCCUUCUUUUAAUACAGGAGGGUCAUGACGGUACCGUAAGAAUAAGCACCGGCUAACUACGUG
rnacentral:rRNA from 1 species